CCCCCCCCCGAUAUUGAUGGUCACUUGAGGUUCUGUGGCUGAGAGACAACUGACGUAGGGUCAGUUGUCUCUCAGCCACAGUUCCACCCAGUUCCACCCCCCUGCCAUGGGCAGGGACACCUCCCACCAGACCAGGUUGCCCAAAGCCCCUAUCCAGACUGGCCUUGAGCACCUUCAGGGAUGGGGCAUCCACAGCUUCUCUGAGCAGCCUCUGCUAAUGCUCUCAUCAUGAAGAAUUUGUUCCCUAUAUCUAAUCUAAAUCUACCUUCUUUUAGAUUAAAACCAUUACUCUUGGCCUAUCACUACACUUUAUCAUGGAGUACCCCCUCAUCUUUCUUGUUAGCUGCCUUUAAUUAAUAGAAGGCUUUUAUAAGUUCUUCACAGAAAGUAUAAAGAUUUCUCCAGUUUCUGCUUACAAACACUUGUGCUACAAAUGAAUAUGUGGAUUUCACAGAGGGAGGGACUCUGGUUACUGGAGCUGGGUGACAGCGCUUUCCUGCUCUCCACUGCAGAACACGAGCUGCCUUUCCACAGCACUGCAAGAGGCUCUUCGCUGGGGCAGCAGAGAAGAGAAAGGAAGCAGCAGCCAGGAAGCAUGCACAGAGGCACUUGUUUCAAUAUUGAAUGUGCUGCACAGGAGAAGUGAGGCCUAUCUCCAAGACAAGGAAUUUCCAGUCCAUGGAGGAGUCACCGAGAAAACAGAAAGCAUAUGUGCUGUGAGGAGUAUACAGAUGGGCAUGACCCAUGAUCAAAUGCUGACUUCUCUGAAAACUAAGCUCAUUUCCUGUACGUAUUGUGAAAAAGAAAGAAAAAAAGUGUGGUUUUAAAGAGGAAGUUUACAGCACAAACGGUAACGGUUUGGUGACCUGGGAUUAGGAUAGAGCUGUACAAACCCCAUUAAUCAAGAAUCAGUAAAAUAUCCUUAUUACAGACCUUUGGGGGAGUGUAUAGAAAUUUCUGUAUAGCACCGACUGAUAAAACGGAGCUGCUCUGCUUCAAGCAAUGAGGAAUGCGAGGCUCUUCACAUGGCAGCAAAACUACAAACAAAAUAUAAUUCACUCCACUACACUAAUGCAGGAUUUAAGAUUUAAGGAUUUAAGUAGGAAAAUUAUUUUCCUGGCUCAUCAUUUUAUGUACUCCAACACUGAUAACGGUGGAAAUAGAUUUUCCUCAUGUAACUUCACUCUCUUGCUCCUUUCUUUUUCUUUACUUGCAUGUUAUGUGAACUUCCCAAAACUAACAAAUUUUUUGUCUUUCUUUUGCUCAAAUUAGUGCAAGAAGGACUCUUAAAUAGGGUUAAAAUACCACAGCGAUGACCUCACACAACACUUGUGUUUGUUUUUUCAGUUGGAAUUGUAAGAUUUUGAGGCUGUAUCUCCUGAACUUUGGAAGCAGUUAUUGAUUGUGGAAGCAUGCCCAAUUCUGGAAACUUUUGGAUUUUAAUUGCAUUUUAAAGGAGAAUUUUGAUCUUCUUCUGCUGGAAUAAAUGAAAAUAUCCAUAGAUUCUGAAUUCUAUCCAAAGCAGUGAAGCCAUAUGCUAAGAAGCCAAAGUUGUAAGUUGAAAAACUGUAGAAAUAUUCCAGAUUAUCUAUGAUUAAGCCAUUUCAGACAUUCAAGUUAUAAAUAAGUAUUUUUCCAGUGCUUCAAAAGAGAAAUUGACACAUUGCUUUUUCAAUAGCAGGACUUAAGAGACACUUGUAAGCUUUUUGAACCUGUUGAAGCUGAUCUUGUCAUAGAAGUAAGAACCUCUGUUUACUUUUUUGAUUCUUUAGAUAGUGACUCUGAUGUUCAGUGUCUCACUCUCACUUUUUUUUUUUUUUUUAAUGUUCAUCGUGCCGAAUAUCUAGUCUCUUAGGACUUAAUGCACUGACAAUUUUAAAUUCAAUGGUCAUGAGUUGGACAGUUUUCUCUGGGGAUGUGGCCUAUCUGAAAAACAAAUCUGUCAUUUCAAAGAAAGUUAGUGCUGUUGGUACUGAAGUUGUGUACGUAAUUUCAUUUUCAGUUUUCUUGACCAAAAAACACAAAAAGUUAUUUUAUACUUUGCAAAAUAUUUAGCUUACAUUUUUUAGAGAAAUAUAAUGAUUUUAACAAAAUUAAGCAUUUUAUUUUUUUUAAAAAUAGAUAAUAUUAAAAGUAGAAAACUGAUCUAUUUAGCUUCUCAGAGGAGUAAUGGGAAAACAAAAACAAAAUAACUUUUCCUCCAAAGCUGUUUGGCAACUUUUAUGAAAUUUAGUAAUAUUUCCAGUCUUACCCCAAACAUUUUUAAGGAAAUGAAGUACUUUCACAAAAGGAAUGGUUGGUAUUGGUAAGAAGCUAAAAUGAUGGCUUGUUGGCCAAGCAGUGGUAGAGAGUUACUUUUGAAAAACAUCAGUGAAAAAUGAGAAAAAAUGUUUGUUGAGGGGAAAAAGAAGAAAACUCUUAGUAUUUCCAAAAACUAAUUGUGAAAGAUUUGAAAAAUGUCCCUAGAAACCAUGUCUGUGGCAGUGCCUUGAUGUCUUUCCACCUGUGAGAAUAUUGGAUCUUUCAGUUCAAUACCUGCUAUUUCCUCCUCUUUUUUCAUUAGAAGUAUUGGUUUGGCAAUGUAGGAUGUAUGGAGUACAGACAUCUUAUGUUCAAAAUUCUAAAAUUUUUAAUUUUGUGAUUAUUUAAUCAUUUAAAUACCUGUUCUGAUUAUGUUUACACCAUUGUCAAGCUAAUUCUGUCAUGAAGCAUGGCAACACUAUACACAUAAGGAUGAUUUUUCUCAGCAAAUUAGCUGAUGUUUUAAGAUUUGCGCUUGUGACACCUCCACACAGAAGACAGGGUAAGAGAGAGGAAGUUUCAGUGGUAACAACUCUUUCAUUAUCAUUUUCUCAACAAAAAGAUAGUUUUUUUUCUCUUCACUAAGUAUCUGUGAUAUUCUUCCAUUAUUCCAUUCUUCCAUAUUCUUCCGUUGCAUGAGAUCAACCUCGGUCACAGAUAAGAAAUCAGAAAAGUACAUACCAGAACACGUGAGCCUACAAAGUUUUACAAAUAGAGAACCUAUUCGUUCUACCUACUGUGUUUAUGAUUUAAUCUAUUUGGUGCCUCAAAACAAGUUUCAUUAAUAUUGUGAAUGAACUAUAAGAAAUGCUUUGAAAAAUACCAUCAAAUGGUAACUAUUAGUUGUAUAAAAGACCUUUGUACAGGAGUUUUCAAGUGAUAUUAAAAGCAAUUUUAAAAA